CAUGAAGAACGUAGCGAAAUGCGAUAAGUAAUGUGAAUUGCAGAAUUCAGUGAAUCAUCGAAUCUUUGAACGCACAUUGCGCCCGCCAGUAUUCUGGCGGGCAUGCCUGUUCGAGCGUCAUUACAACCCUCAGGCCCCCGGGCCUGGCGUUGGGGAUCGGCGGAGCCCCCCGUGGGCACACGCCGUCCCCCAAAUGCAGUGGCGGUCCCGCCGCAGCUUCCAUCGCGUAGUAGCUAACACCUCGCGACUGGAGAGCGGCGCGGCCACGCCGUAAAACACCCAACUCUUCUGAAGUUGACCUCGAAUCAGGUAGGAAUACCCGCUGAACUUAAGCAUAUCAAUAAGCGGAGGA
rnacentral:misc_RNA from 1 species